rnacentral:pre_miRNA from 1 species
AAUGUGCUCCCUCUGACUCAUAUUACUUGUCGAAAUGUUAUAUGUAUCUAGACGCUCUUUAAACAUAGAUACAUCUAUAUUUGGACAGAUUUGAGACAAGUAAUAUGGAUCGGAGGGAGUAGAAG